rnacentral:rRNA from 1 species
UACGUAGGGUGCGAGCGUUGUCCGGAAUUACUGGGCGUAAAGAGCUCGUAGGUGGUUUGUCGCGUUGUUCGUGAAAACCGGGGGCUUAACCCUCGGCGUGCGGGCGAUACGGGCAGACUUGAGUACUGCAGGGGAGACUGGAAUUCCUGGUGUAGCGGUGGAAUGCGCAGAUAUCAGGAGGAACACCGGUGGCGAAGGCGGGUCUCUGGGCAGUUCCUGACACUGAGACACGAAGGCCAGGGGAGCAAACGGG